CUUGGUUGCUUUGCUGCAACUUUUUGCUCUUGCCUCUUUGAAAUAGGAGCCUUCCCCAGCAUGCCUUUUUUCAUCAGGAGACAUUUUACAUUCUCGAUAAGCCUGGAUAAGGCUCUUUUGGAAGCUAGAGGCUGUUGCUGUUUCUCUUGCAUCUAGGUUAAUGAGGGUUUCCCUGAAGCCAUAAAGAAGGAGGGGAUUGCCUUAGAGCUACAAAUCAACAUCUUUCGUAACUAAAGCUGAGUGAGGCUGCAUCCCUGAGCCUUGCGUCCGUAUAGCGAGGAUACUGAUCUCCGUCUGAGCUUGACUCAAAUUCACCUGGACGUUAGUUUUCCUCUGACCUGGGGCUUUCUAGGCCUACUUUCCAGGACUCAACAGCACCUCCUGGCUUCUAGAGCUAUGCGUACACAGCGCUCGUGUGUGGUGGUUCUGAUUUAUUUAUUUAUUGUUAAGCCACAUGCGCGCACAGCGCCUGUCUGUAACUCACAAAACAGAAGCAACACAUCUUUGCCGACGGGCUGCUCACGUUAAGCACCCCGAAGCAGCUCGACGGUGCCCUGCACCCUGUCCUCCCUGCCUCCCUCCCUCGGCCGCUCCUGGGGCGCCCCCUGACGGGCACGGCGCCGGGCACAGCCCUGCGCGCUCAGCACCGCUCCCGAGCCGGAGGGACGUGUGUCCUGCGGGGAGGGAAUCGGGGGACGGGGAUAUAAUGUGCUCGUCCUGCUCUUUCACACCUCCCCCCCCGAGCAGGCAUUAAGACGGUGGUUAAGGGAGCGUUUCUUGGUAUGGGACCUGCAAGGGGAUGAAGCAGUAUGUUUGUUGUACCUAAAGGGAAACGUUGUGCUACGACAGCUAUAAAGCUGUUCUGUAUUACUUUGAGGUUCUGAUUAAACUGACAGAACGAACAGUUCCCGUAAAUUCUUUUCCAAAAGAAAAUUCUUUAUUAACUGUAAUUCUGUGAACACAAAGGCUCCUGGUGUUGCUGUAAAUGUGCAAUUCAUCUAAUAGAGCGUUUGCAAGUGGUAAGUAAAUCAACUGAUUUCCAUUGUUCUUCUGUUGCUAAUAAAUCAUUUUCCUGAAAGAC